UACGGAGGGUGCAAGCGUUGCUCGGAAUUACUGGGCGUAAAGGGGAGGUAGGUGGUCUUGUUUGUCUAGGGUGAAAUCCCGGUGUUUAACUCCGGAAGUGCCUUAGAAACGGCAAGACUAGAGUUCUGGAGAGGAUCGUGGAAUUCCCGGUGUAGCGGUGAAAUGCGUAGAGAUCGGUAGUAACACCAGAGGCGAAUGCUGCGAUCUUGACAUACACUGACCCUUAACUACUAAAGCGUGGGGAGCAAACAGG
rnacentral:rRNA from 1 species